AUGCUCCAGAGAAACUGUUAACCAAAGUCAAUCAUUACAGCCAACCUCACUGGUGUCUCAUGUUAAGAAAUUGCCCCAGCCACCACCCUCAUCAGUCAGCAGAUCAAUUCUGAGGCAAGAUCAUCCACCAGCAAAAUGAGGAUGAUGCUCUGAAAGCCCAGGUGGUGAUUAGAAUGUUAAAACAAUGAAAUAUGUUUACAUUGAGGCAUGUACAUUGUGUUUUAAGACAUAAUGUUAUUGCCUGCUUAACAGACUACAGCAUAGUGGAAACAUAACUUUCAUAGGCAGCAGGAAACUAAAACAUUUGUAUGAUUUGUUGCAAUAUUUGCUUUGUUGCAGUGGUCUGGAGUCCAGCCAGCAACAUCUUGGAGGUUCGCCUGUAUUAUAUUCUGGUUAUCGACUUCCUCCAACCCUGAAACACACCCAUGCCCGCUUGGUGCCCCCUAGGGCGCUGGAGACUGUCGUGCUCAGCCUUCUACCUGCCAGAGCUGCCGGGAUGUCCGGGGAGUGGGGGAGCACUGCAAACCAGAUGCCCAGGUGAGUCAACUGAGACUCAGCGAGGUAAGCUGACACACUGGGAUGGCGUGAGAGGGGAUGGGAACCCCGGGAUGGCUCCAGCUGCCCUGGGCCUUCUGCCACUCACAGGUAAGAUGGUGGGAAUGGGAACUUGAAGCACAUGGUGCACAGUAGGUGUUUAGUCAGAGCUGCUUCUCUCUCUCUCCUUUUCUCAAAGAUCAGGUGUCCAGCAGGCCUGACUGUGAAGUGGAUGACACUUUCUUCCUGACGACACUGUAAAACCAUUAUAAAAUCAACCCUGGUUCCCAGGGGCAAAAACCUCCCCUCACAGAACCAUCUCAGUAGGUAAAAGGCUCGCGUUGGCAGAACUGGGAGGCAGGUCUCUCACGCUGGCACUGGAUGAUGGCUUUAUGACCUCAGGCUGGUUACCACCCCUCUCUGAGAAGCGUGUAGUUUCGGUUGACUCAAGUCCCCCCUGCAGCGUCGGCCUCCAGGGAGCCUCUGAGCAAACUCUGGUCUGCAUCCAGAGGGUUGAGGUCAGGCCAGGUGGUGGCUGCUGCCGUGUCUCUACACUCGUGCUGGGAGGGCACAGAGGGGCCCUCAUGGCAGAGUCAAGUCCUCCUGCCAUCCGAAAGGCCAAGGUGUGAGUCCCUCUGCUGUGAAUCUGCCCCUUGGCGGGGCCGGUUUCCUGGCCUGGGGCGAGGCUUUGAGCUUCUUCCCCAGGAAGGUGCCCAGGUCAUAGUCCAGCCCUGGCCCAGCACUGAAGCUUCAUGUCUUAGCCUGGCUUUGCCAGCUGGCAACUGGCUGCCCUCCAGACAGUUACUCCUUGGAACAGAAAUGUGUGAGGAAAGCUGGCUCUGCCCAGGGGUCCCCAGCUGUCCCUGGCAGUCCAACCCUUCUCCCCAAGCUGGGAGGGCACCAUCCCUCAGAUCCAUCUUUCUCACGCUUUGCUGUCAGCAUGGGAAGGGCCUCGGGGGUGGAGGUGCCCAGUAAUGCUGGCCUGCUCAGCCAGCUUGAAUGGUGUCCCUUAGAAAGAUCUACGCCAGUCUUGCCCCUCAGAACCUGUGAAUGUGACCUUAUGUUUAGAAAUAGGGUCUUUGCAGAUGUCAUCAAGUUAAGAUAGGUUCUUACUGGGUUAGGGUGGCCCUGAUCUAAUGCCUGGUGUCCUUAUAAAAAGAGGGGA